GAUGAACGCUGGCGGCGUGCCUAAUACAUGCGAGUCGAGCGAACAGACGAGGAGCUUGCUCCUCUGACGUUAGCGGCGGACGGGUGAGUAACACGUGGAUAACCUACCUAUAAGACUGGGAUAACUUCGGGAAACCGGAGCUAAUACCGGAUAAUAUAUUGAACCGCAUGGUUCAAUAGUGAAAGACGGUUUUGCUGUCACUUAUAGAUGGAUCCGCGCCGCAUUAGCUAGUUGGUAAGGUAACGGCUUACCAAGGCGACGAUGCGUAGUCGACCUGAGAGGGUGAUCGGCCACACUGGAACUGAGACACGGUCCAGACUCCUACGGGAGGCAGCAGUAGGGAAUCUUCCGCAAUGGGCGAAAGCCUGACGGAGCAACGCCGCGUGAGUGAUGAAGGUCUUCGGAUCGUAAAACUCUGUUAUUAGGGAAGAACAAAUGUGUAAGUAACUAUGCACGUCUUGACGGUACCUAAUCAGAAAGCCACGGCUAACUACGUG
rnacentral:rRNA from 1 species